GAUGAACGCUGGCGGCGUGCCUCAAACAUGCAAGUCGAGCGGGGCUAUGUAAUACCGCAAGGUAGAACAUAGCCUAGCGGCGAACGGGUGAGUAACACGUGGGUAACCUGCCUGGAAGACAGGGAUAACGAUUCGAAAGGGUCGCUAAUACCUGAUAAUAUCCUUUCAUCGCAUGGUGAUAGGAAGAAAGGGGAAACCCGCUUUCAGAUGGGCCCGCGUCCCAUCAGCUAGUUGGUAAGGUAAAGGCUUACCAAGGCGACGACGGGUGGCCGGUCUGAGAGGAUGUACGGCCACACUGGGACUGAGAUACGGCCCAGACUCCUACGGGAGGCAGCAGUUGGGAAUCUUAGGCAAUGGACGAAAGUCUGACCUAGCGACGCCGCGUGAGGGAAGAAGGCCUUCGGUUGUAACCGUACUGUCAUGGGGAAGAAGUAAGUGACGGUACCCAACGAGGAAGCCCUGCUAACUACGUG
rnacentral:rRNA from 1 species